rnacentral:rRNA from 1 species
GUGUCAGCAGCCGCGGUAAUACAGAGACUGCAAGCGUUAUUCGGAUUCACUGGGCGUAAAGGGUGCGCAGGUGGCCGUGUGUGUGAGGCGUGAAAGCCCGGGGCUUAACCCCGGAAUUGCACCUCAAACUACAUGGCUAGAGCAUUGGAGAGGGUAGCGGAAUUCACGGUGUAGCAGUGAAAUGCGUAGAUAUCGUGAGGAACACCAGAGGCGAAGGCGGCUACCUGGACAAUUGCUGACACUCAGGCACGAAAGCGUGGGGAGCAAAAGGGAUUAGAAACCCGCGUAGUCC